rnacentral:rRNA from 1 species
AACGAACGCUGGCGGCAUGCCUAACACAUGCAAGUCGAACGAGCUUUUCGGAGCUAGUGGCGCACGGGUGCGUAACGCGUGGGAACCUGCCCUUAGGUUCGGAAUAACACAGAGAAAUUUGUGCUAAUACCGGAUAAUGUCUUCGGACCAAAGAUUUAUCGCCUUUGGAUGGGCCCGCGUAGGAUUAGCUAGUUGGUGAGGUAAAGGCUCACCAAGGCGACGAUCCUUAGCUGGUCUUAGAGGAUGAUCAGCCACACUGGGACCGAGACACGGCCCAGACUCCUACGGGAGGCAGCAGUGGGGAAUAUUGGACAAUGGGCGCAAGCCUGAUCCAGCAAUGCCGCGUGAGUGAUGAAGGCCUUAGGGUUGUAAAGCUCUUUUACCCGGGAUGAUAAUGACAGUACCGGGAGAAUAAGCCCCGGCUAACUCCGUGUCAGCCGCCGCGGUAA